rnacentral:rRNA from 1 species
CCUACGGGAGGCAGCAGUGAGGAAUAUUGGUCACUGGACGAGAGUCUGAACCAGCCAAGUAGCGUGAAGGAUGACUGCCCUAUGGGUUGUAAACUUCUUUUAUAUGGGAAUAAAAUGUUCCACGUGUGGGAUUUUGUAUGUACCAUAUGAAUAAGGAUCGGCUAACUCCGUGCCAGCAGCCGCGGUAAUACGGAGGAUCCGAGCGUUAUCCGGAUUUAUUGGGUUUAAAGGGAGCGUAGGUGGAUUGUUAAGUCAGUUGUGAAAGUUUGCGGCUCAACCGUAAAAUUGCAGUUGAAACUGGCAGUCUUGAGUACAGUAGAGGAGGGCGGAAUUCGUGGUGUAGCGGUGAAAUGCUUAGAUAUCACGAAGAACUCCGAUUGCGAAGGCAGUUCACUGGACUGCAACUGACACUGAGGCUCGAAAGUGUGGGUAUCAAACAGGAUUAGAUACCCUUGUAGUC